rnacentral:rRNA from 1 species
UACGAACCGUCCAAACGUUAUUCGGAAUUAUUGGGCUUAAAGGGUAUGUAGGCGGCGCUGUUAGUCGGGUGUGAAAUCCCUCGGCUCAACCGAGGAAUUGCGCCCGAAACUGCAGUGCUAGAGGGAGACAGAGGUAAGCGGAACUGAUGGUGGAGCGGUGAAAUGCGUUGAUAUCAUCAGGAACACCGGUGGCGAAAGCGGCUUACUGGGUCUCUUCUGACGCUGAGAUACGAAAGCUAGGGGAGCGAAGGUG